ACGCUCGACACUACGGAGGCAGCAGUGGGGAAUAUUGCACAAUGGGGGAAACCCUGAUGCAGCGACGCCGCGUGAGCGAAGAAGUAUUUCGGUAUGUAAAGCUCUAUCAGCAGGGAAGAAACUGACGGUACCUGACUAAGAAGCACCGGCUAAAUACGUGUCAGCAGCGCGUAAUCUGAGCGGGCUGGCAAGGC
rnacentral:rRNA from 1 species